rnacentral:lncRNA from 1 species
AAAAAAAAAAAAAAGGUCUAAGCGUUAACUACGGCAUGAUCAGUGCAUCUAUGCUUUGAUAGUCGCGCUUGGUUUUAAUUGGAUGGAUCUAAUCUUAUGAUCCUUAUUAAUUAAUUUAUUUGUUAAGGUGUGGGUAUGUGGUGCAAUAAGAGGAGAGUUAUGUGAGCGGGGGGUAGGGCGUGGUUCGCUCGAACGAAGCACGAGGCGAAUCGAUGCAUGGGGUCGGAGAGAGAGGGGGCACGCGCGUCCUACGUGCACGUGAUCUGGUGCAGGAAUCGGGCUGACGUGGCGAGAGCCCAUUCGUCCUCUGGGUUCUCUGAAGGAUAAAUUAUUGCACGCACAUGGUGCAUCCGUACAGUUCAUAUACCGCCCUAGAUAUUUAACUAUUGGUGCCCUAAAAUUCAAGGAUAACCAUGGAUACCUUAUCUGAACUAUGUGCCAUUUUAAAUUUACUAUUUAAUUUUCAAAAUUUUGACUCCAUUAUUCAAUAUUUUAAUUUGUUUAAUUUCGGUGAGUCAAUUACGCUUUAACUUUAAAUUUAGUAGUAUAUUUCAUACAAUUCUUAUUAUUAUAAAUUUAUGAAAUUAAAAAUUAGUUUAAAUUUAUAAAUUAAAAUUUAUUCAUCGACUCAAAUCAAACAAAUUAAAAAAUCAAACAACAUAAUCAAAAUUUUUAAAUAUAAAAUAAUUAAUUUAAAAUGAUCUAUAAUUUAGUGUAGAAGGUAUGAAUGAGCUGAGUUCCAAUAGGCUCGAAUUUGCUGAAGGAUGGCUCAAACUCAAUGCAAGCUUAAAAAGGGUGAUUUCUGACUUAGACUCACCAAAGUUUUGAGCUAGCUCAAACUCGGCUAGUUGGUUCUUUGAUAAGUACGUCUUAGUUCAGUCUAAAACAGUUAAAAAUAAAAAGAAAAAUUUUCGAGCAAGACUUGAGUGGACCGAGUAAAUCUCAAGCUCGUCUUGUUUAACAAAUCAAACUUGAACCCUCGCUCGAUCCCUACUUAAUUAAUAAAUGGAUGAGCUCGAUCUGGGGCACAAAUUAGCAAAGCUCACAAUCUAUGAUCUUUUUCGACGCUCCUACGUGUAGUAUUCAUAUUGCCUAUGUUAAAAAUAUAUAUAACUACUAGCUAGAAAUAUAUUAUAUUGAUUUAUCAAAAAUCAACUAUAAAGAAUUAAUAGUAGUAUUGCUUGAUAGAAAUUUUUUUUUUUCUAAAUUUAUAAGUUAAAUUCUGAAUUUAAGGCCUUAAUUACAAAUUUUAAUGGUACAGUGUACGGUGCACCGGGCGCAUGCAACAGCAUCUGAGCCAAAAGGGCAGGGCCCGGGUGGGCCCCAACGUCGUGCACCAAUGUCGGUCUCCUUUUGUGGGCGGUUUUGGUCGUGACAGGUGUCGCCGUCUUAGCUUUUGAUCAUAAACGCAGCAUAAAACGAACGGUUGGAUGGAAUCGAGGAGGUGGGUGGGGCCACCGGUUCUGGGCAAAUUUUUGAAAUGGACGCUUAAUGGAUUGGAGUGGGGCCCACGUGUUGUCGGUUAUGCGUGGUCGAGUUUUGGGGUCACCGUCACGGGUGCGGAUGUCGAUCUCAACCGAUUUAACCGCCAAGAUGAUGGCUGGCAAUGUCCGAGUCACCGUGGGGCCCAUCCACUAUCCUCUUCUUAGAUAGUGUGGGGUUAAUUACUCCUAACUUGGACAAAUUAAAUGCUCAAAUAUGAUGUUAAAUUGUUUAAAAUUUUUAAAAUUUAAAAUUUAUGAUUGUUUUAUACUAUUUGUCUAAUAAUCAAAAUAAUUUUCUAUCUAUCUAUCUUAUAUUAGUUGUAAAAAAUAAUUAAUUUUACAAGCACUUGAAUACUACGCAUAUAAUAAUUAAAACACUAUAAAAUUUGAAAUAUAUGUAGAAAGUUUAAAUAGUCUAAAUUAAGUUUAACAAUGCUUAAUUAUUGUUGAUCCGGAUGCUCCAGUGUCAAAAACGAGGCAAAAAUAAAUGCAGUUUUUUUUUUAUUUGGAGAGAUAGGUAGCACACUAUCCGCUUCAUUAAUUAAACAAAAUGAACUAAGCUUACAGCAUGAUAGCAACCAGAGCUUCCGAAAAAAGAAAGGCAAAGACAAGCAUUAGAGAAAGAAAAAGACAAAAAGAAAAGGGAUAAAAAGAAAGGAAAUAAAGGAAAAAAUCGGUAGUCCGAUAUUAGUCAAGUUUACUCCAAGUGGACAGAAGAAGUUGCACGCGCUCAAGCGAUUGGUAGGGAUUGGGGUAUUUCGCCUGGAAGAUGAAGUUGUUCUUCAGUCCAAACCACCCACCAAAUAGCCGACAAAAGAGUUAAGUCUUUUUUCCUUUUCCCAGUGUCCUCAAGAUUAAAGGUCCUUCCCCACAGUUCUCGAGCUUCGUCGGAGGGCGCAGGAAGAAUUGUUGACCCAUCCGCACGAAGGAUUAGGAAUCUGAAAUGUACGCAGUUACAGAAAAGAUAGUCGUAGUUUUUUACUUACGGAAGUAUCUAGUCUUGUUCAAUUAAAUAUACUAUUUUUCCUUUUCUCUGUUCUUAUUUUUUUAACUAUUUCUCCUAGCUAUAACUUUGAAUAGAAACCCAAAUCAAUUUCUUAAUCAGGGAAGAAUAACUUCUGAGAGAGGUAUUCUACAAAUCAAACUUAUAGAAAAUUUCUACACACCUCGUGAUUAAUUAUUUCUGUCAUCCACCUAGCAAAGAGAUUAUUUUAUAGUUUUCUUAUUUACAUAGAGAAAUUUUUUUGUUAUUAAUUGGCAAUAUUGUACAAAUAUAUUGUUAGUUAGUUGAAUGUAAAAUAAUGUUUUUUUUUUCUAAAAAAAAUCAAGUAUAUAUAUUAUGCUGAUCAAGUGUUAUUAUAUAUCUAACAUGUUGAAAUUCUUGUAAAAAUAAAUUUUUCACAUGAUAUUAGAGAUAAAGUCCUGAGUUUGGUUUCUUUACAGAUGCUUACUUUGAUAAGCAGUUUGCUUUCUACUACUUUUUAGGCAUGCGAUGAAAAACUUGGUAUCCACCUCCGCAUUACUUGCAAAUAUAUCUUAAAAGAUACUUUUCGGAUUAUAUCAUGUACGCAUGAGUGAUUUUGAGCAUAGAAGACGAAAUUCCUAAUCCACAUCAAGUAGUGGCACGCAUGAGCCAAUAAACUCACAUGAGUUGCAUGUCUUAACUUAUGCUGUACGUGUUGUACGAAUGCUAGUGCAAAAUUGCCAACUACACCAACUAAAGAGACUAUUCUUAUAUAUAGCUUUUACGAAUUCAAUAUAAAGAAGGGUAAAAGUUGUUAAGGUGUUGUAGAUAUCGCAAUUCUAAUCAUCCUACUUUAGAAAUUUAAUGGUUUAGCAACGAAAAGAACUGCAUGAAGAAUUUGAUCAGUAUCCUUAUAAAGAAGAAGAAUAAGAAGAAGAAGAAAUACAAAAAAAAGCACUUUGGAGCACAACUAGGUUAACCCAGUACAUAUAUUCUUUGUUGAUUAUAUUCACUAGAUAUUCCAUGUGGAGAGGUUGUCUCUGACUAGAGUUAAAUUGUGGUGCACCUCACUUUGGGUCCCAUUCAAAGUGAAUUUGAACUUAUCUGCAAUAUGUAGCUACACAAAAAGCCAUUAAAUUUAAGAAUCCGGAUCUUUUUGUUAUCCUUGUCAUGGUCUAAAAGUUAUUAAUUAUUAAAAAGAAAAUGAGGGACAGGUGUAAGGUGAAUAAAAAUUAAAGGACCUUUAUUUUCUUUCGACUAAAGUUUGGUUCUAAAUUACCAACUGUUCCUAGAGCAAGUGGCAAAGGGUUUGGUGAUUGGUACCCGAGGUCCCAAGUUCGAAUCCUAGUUGAUUCACAUUUCUAGCUAAGUUUAUUUCUAAAUGAAAUAAACGAAGUGGGUAGCAUGCUAUCUAUCUCUUUCUAAAAAAAAAAAAAAAAAAAAGGAAAGAAAAAAAGAAGAAGAAGUUUGGUUCCAAAUUCAGCAUCACCUUAUUUUUACACUAGGGUACGUGUACAAUAAUCUACUUUUGCACUCUUGUGUUACACAGUAUAUGUCAAAUUCCUGCGCACUCUUCACCUCUUAACAAACCACGCACAAAAUAAAGAGAAAUGCUAAGUCUGUUGGAAAAACUUUCUGAUCUUUUAUUAUAAUAUUCUUUAAAAACCAAUUCGAAAAUUUAAUUACAGGUUUAGAAAAAUUCCGAAACGAAAUUAACUAACAAAUACGGUAAAUAAAAGGUUUAGAUAAAGCCAGUAGAUCGAGGCGUGUAGAGCACUGUUCUAGAAGCGAAAUUAUCCCUCCACGUGCGAGGCUUCCUGGCAAUUAUUCCUAGCGAUACAACAAUCACGUUCCACCUCGUCGGCACGCCUCCAAGGUGGCGCAAGACGAACCCAACUAGCUUCAAAUCCAGCAAAAAAAAAAUCGGCGAAAACCCAGAAAGUAAAAAAAGAUGAGAGGCUUUAGGUAUGCUCGGGUUAUUAAUUAACUCGUGUAAUCUCGCCCCAUAUUUAUAACCUAGGCGACGCCCGGCUCGGCUUGUGUAAUCUCGCUUCAUAUUUAUAACCUAGGCUAGGUGACGCCCGGCUUGGCUUGUGUAAUCUCGCUCCAUAUUUAUAACCUAGGCGACGCCCGGCUCGGCUUGUGUAAUCUCGCUCCAUAUUUAUAACCUAGGCGACGCCCGGCUCGGCUUGUGUAAUCUCGCCCUAUAUUUAUAACCUAGGCGAUGCCCGGCUUGGCUCGUGCUCGUGCCGUGCGUGAAUUUAAACGAAAGUAUUACUAUUAUUUUCUUCUAAGUAACUAGCUUGAGAAUAAAGCAAUAUAUAAAGACCACAAAUGUCGUUUUGGUUUCCAAUGUAGGACUAAACAUCUCACAUGAAAAUUUUAGUUGGGUUCCCUAAACGGCCCAUUAACAAUUGUUGGGCUCUCAAGAGACUUUAAUAAGUUUUAAAUUAUAACAAACCCAAUAAAAUCCAAUAAAGUCUACCACCCAAAGGGGUUGUAAUCCAUAUAAUUCUUAAUUGUAAAAUUUAUCAACUUCAUUAACAAGACAAGUAGGAAAAAAAAGAAGAAGAAUAUACAGUUGGAUUGGAAAGGUUGUAGGAUUACAAUUCUUCUGUAACCCUAGCUCUCCUUAUAGACACCCCCAAACUUUUUCUCUUUUGCAAAGAGGUUCCAUAACUUUCAAUUUCAAAGAAUAACUGGCUGAACUUCACUGUACCUUUCGAUCGACUCCUACCGUUUGCUCGGCAUAAAAAAAACUGAUGGAGAUCGGCAUACACAGCAGUCGCAUGUGCUACUUUUUCCUCCUUUUCAUCUCCAAAUGAGGCUCAAAGUUGAUAUAUAUAGAAAUGAAUAAAAUUAACAUAUUCCUGUAAAUACUUGCUCUAACUUCAUAUAAACUUAAUUGUGCUAUGUACAUCCAAGAUUAUUUGCUCCGUAAAUACAAAAGUUCCAUCCAAAUGCAUAUAGCAUGUUAAAAAAAAGGAUCAUUAUCAAAUAUUUACUUAUUCCAUACAAAGAUAAAUAAAAAUUCAACACUAUCCAUGAGGUUACCUUCAUCGUGUUAGAAUUUGAUUAGAUUUAUAGUUAAUACUCUAGUUGGAGAAAAAUUAAUAUUUAAAUCUAUUGGAGGUAAAUUAAGAUUUAAAUAUUAAUUAGAGUAUAAAUCUAACUAGAUUAGAAUAAAUAUUUAAAUUUAUUGGAGAUUAAUAAAAUAUAAAUGUAAAUAUUAAUUGGAAUAGAAAUUCUAAUUAUUUUAGAAUUGGGCUACGUUCUGCUGGAGCUUUAUAAAUAACUCCUCAUGUUAAUUAGGAAAAAUUCUAGAAUGCAACGGGUAUAUUAGUGACGUGGCAUAACAAACCAAUCAAAUUAAUUUUUUUAAGAAUAUAUGUCCCAUCAUGAUUAUGAAAAAGUAUUUUUAUUGUACUUUUGUUUGAAAAGAAGGAAUGUGAUUGGCUUGUUAUUGAUGGUAUGGUGCAAGUGUGACAGUGUAGAAUUCCUCGUUAAUUAGUGGUUGUCUCCGUGGAGUUGCAUGGCUGAAGUUUCAAAGAAAUAGUAUGGUCAAGGUUGGCGCUCUUUGACGGGUAAAAUGGCUGAUGUGUCUUGAAGCCAUUAGUGGACCGUACCAAAUGGAAGCUUGGUUAUGAUUGCAUCCAUCUAGUGUACGGAUGCAUGUGAGAAAAAAAAAAGGGUUGUCUUUUAGAUUUGUAGAAGACGAGAGAAGGGUGGAAAAGAUUUAGAAAUUAAGAGGGCUCGGGUUGUAGCUAUUCUAUACAAGAAAGGAGUCAGGUGUAAUCUUCUUUUAGUUAAUAAAUCUUAUUUUACCCGCAUAUUUUCUAUUUUAAUUUUUCUUUCUUUUAUGAUUGUAUCAAAUUUUGCUGAGGAGACAGGUUUACGGUAAAAAUUCGAUUCGACACUUCCGUUGCAGAAUCCCAACAUUCGGUACUAGAUCAAUAACAGUCGGUAUUGGAGCGGGUUGCAAAUUCUCAAAAUUCGGUAUCAUGGCGAGUACCGAAUUCCCAACACAUCGUCCCACAAAGAAGAAGAGGCUUAUAUAUUUUAUAUAUAUUCUCCACUAUUUGGCCUAGAGCAGAUCACACAUUGCCACACUUGCUAAUCUAUGUUAAUUCCUUGAGGCCAAGCAGAUGAAACAAUCACUACAACAAAAACGGUGUAUAGCAACACUUUUAAAUGUCGGUACAGAUCAAAAAAUAUACUGCUGGUUAAAUUACCGACACUUUUUAAAAGUGUUGCUAUAUGUGGAGUCGCUAUAUGUAGGGCCGCUUUGAUAUUUUGCACCCACUCCUCCAGCGACCUGUAACGGAGGGACACGCGGCGAUCGUAACCUUAUACGAUCCCUGCGAAAUCCUUGCGACUAAACUCCAGCCGUCGGAACAUGGUGAUCGUAACCUUUUACGGUCCCUGCGGUAGUCAAUUUUUCUUUUUUUUUUUUAUUUUUCUAUUUGUAAUUGGGCCAAGUGAGCAGGGUGGAGUUGGUCGAGUAGAGAAACUUUUUGUUUUUUAUUGAAUUGGGUUUUAUAUUUAGGCCUUAAUAUAUUUUUUAAAAAGUUUUGAUAUAAAUGAAACACUUACACAAAAGUAUUUCAAAAAUGUGUUGUUAUAAUCAAUGUAAUAGAUAGUAAAACAUAAUAAAGUCUAGGAGGUUAUUUCCCAAAGUUGAAAUUUCAAUAGUCCUGUUAUAAAUGCGGGGAAGUUUAGGGGUGUCUAUACAUUUGACCCAGAUAAAAAUGGGGAACUUCGCAAAAUGCCAAGUUGAGGACAAAUUUUAAGAUUGAAAUAUUUUACAGGAUCUCAUGUUAUCGAAAUAAAUCUUUGUUCAAGAUGAUCUUCAAAACUUAAUUUCCUUCGUAAAGCAACAAGUGUACAACAAUAUGCAAUGGACAUGCGUACCUGUCUAGCUCAUUUUUUAACUAUUUUUUAACUAAAAGGACAAAAUAGUAAUUCAAGUUGCAUGGUAUAAUAUUUAGGCUAAAUUACAGAAAACCCUCCUGUAAUAACCCGCUUUUUCACUUUCCCCUCCUGACAUUUAAAAACCUACACUUUGCCCCCUUGUAAAAUGAAAAAUAUUCACAGGGGGGCCACGGUGUGUAAAAUGACCAUUUUGCCCCUCGCCAUUGUUGUCUUCUUCCUGAGCUUCCUCAGCCGCCCCUUCGAUCCGCCGCUAUUUCCACCUCAAUCGGCCACGAUUCCUCUCCAAUUUCUUCUCCACCUGCUCCCCUUCUCCUCCUACACCGUCGCCGCCCAUCGAUUUCGGCGACAGUAGGGAGGAUACUAAGAUGGGUGUUGAUGGAGAGGUAGGCAGGGACAACGAGGGCGAAGGCGAGGUGGCGGAGGAGGAAGAAAGGGAUGUGGGCGAGGGCGAAGCAGUGGAGGACGGCGAGGCGGCGAGGCGGCGAAGCGGCGAGCCGGAGGGAGCGAAGCAUCAGAGAAGAGGCAGAGGGGUAUUUUCGGUAUAAAAAAAUAUUUUUUAACAGAACCCCUAACGGAACCCUAACGGUAGGGGUGAAGUGCACAUUUUUCAUUUUACAAGGGGGCAAAGUGUAGGUUUUUAAAUGUCAGGAGGGGAAAGUGAAAAAACGAGUUAUUACAUGGGAGUUUUCUGUAAUUUAGCCUAAUAUUUAAAAGGACAAAAUAUUAUAUAAUCAUUUUGAUGCAUGGUAUGAAGGUUCUUUCAUAAUUGAAUAAUAAUUUAUAGGAUUAAUUUCAUACUUAUCCUUCUUCAACUCUUAAUUAUACAGAAACUCCUCUAAAAGUAUCAAUAUAAAAAAUAUUCCUUUUAUUUAGAGAACUUAAUAGUUUACUAGUCUAUUAGUUUACAAACACGAAAAAGAAAAUGAUAACCGACCGUUUCUGACACAAGUGACAAAUUAAGGAGUUAAUGAUUGAUACCCAAGAUCCCAAAUUUAAAUCCUAGUUGAUUCAAAUAGAGAAAUUCUUACGCACCCUAAACAGGGUGCCUAUAUAGAGAGAGAGAGAGAGCUACAUACGCUCUCGUACUUUCAAAAGUACGUAGCUUUGUGGACUUGUAAAUUAAUUUUGACGAUAGAACAUUCGAUUCGACGAUCGAUUCCAUUAGCUAUGAUUUAUGGUGUUGAUGCCUAUAUAUAUGUAUGUAUGUAUCUUCGACGUUCUAAAAAAAUAGUAAUUGAUGGAUCGACUCAAUUAUAUAUCUGGUUAAUUAGGGUGACAUUUCUCUAAAAUCCGUGACUGUGACGAUCACUACUAGCUAGUGUGGAGCGAUGCACAUGAUCAUGCAAGAAAUCAUCACACAACUAAUUAACAUGUUACAUAUAUGUUAAUGAAAAGUAAAAGUACUAUAAAGAUGACUUUACAAAAGUAAACAAAUCAUUUAGAUCGAGUCGUGCUAAAUUUGUUUCAUUUUCAUCAACUUUUAUCGUGACAAUUUAAGAUCGAUAUUGCUAGUGUAGGAAGUAAGCGAAUGAUCAUGUUAAGAGUUUGGUUAUCCUCGUAGGCUUAAUUAGUUUGGUAUUAAAAUCUAUACGUUAUUAGACUAAAUGAAGUUAGGCAAAAAUAUAUAGAAAUAUGCUUCUGCGUUUUUUGGUUGGACCGUAGAAAAUAUAUCAUAACUGACUCAUCGCGAUAUGCGAAACGUAAUAUUACAUAUGAAAACAAACAUAAUAUUUUUUUAUUGUACUUUUUCAUCACACAUAGCGCAAUCUUCUCGUAAGUCUAAACGAAACUUUAAAAGUCACCCCUGGAAUGGUGGUCAUAUAUUUGACCUAAAAGUUGGUACACUUUGUUUUUUUGACUCAAAAGGAUAAGAUCAUUGGAGGCUAUUGGUAGGGUAGGAAUAUUCAUAAUGCACCUAUAUUGUUCUUUUAAAAGCUACAAUGGAUAGCUCGAAAUACACAAGAUUCUUAAAGAAAGCCAUGUAGUCACUCCCUUUGCUUCUUUCUACCACGACCUCUCAUUUAAAGAGAAACCCUCAAAUCCUUGUUUUUCUACAGAAGUCACGAGGCUCCCACCAUACUCUGACUCUCACAUGCACCACCAAGCGUGAAUCAUAUAUAUAUAUAUAUGCACGUACACAUGAAAGGUUGUUCUAUACUUACGUACGUACACGUGCCUUGCAAAUUUUGUGACUGGUCAAAUAUAUUACUUUUCAACAUAUUCUCUCUCUUUUUCUUUAAAAAAAAAACAUAUUCUCUCUGGCCAUGUUUGAUUGGGAAACAAGGAUUGAGAAUAAGGGAUUAUUCCCCCUUGUUCUUCAAAUACUAUUUUUAAGAAUGGUGUCAGGCAGGGGUUAUUCCCCCUGCCUGACACCUCUCCUUGUCUUGAUCCAGUUCGUCGGAUCGCACAAACAACCACAAAUUUGAUGGCACCUUUUAUUGAAAGAUUUAGUGAUUUAAAGCCUCAUUUUGUUACGCUGCAUGCACUCUUGUUCUUUUAUUGCUCAAACAAAUCUACGUGAAUGAUCAAUUAAUGUUCCGAUGAAUGUUGAAUUAAUUAUCUGUAAUCUUUACGUCUACAUAUUUGUUUUACAACAAAAAGUAAUUAUUAUAGUUUUUUUUUUAAUAGAAAUUUAUGGUUCACAAGACAACAAGAACAGAAGAAGUCUAAGCCAAUUUGCACCAGCAUGAACAGAAAACUUCUAUCCUUAUAAAUACAUAAAUAAUUAAGCAAACAAAACGGAAAGGCCGAAAAAUAGCCUUAAUACCCAACUCACAAGCGCGAUGAAUAUCAGGUACUUAAACAUAGAACUUUGAAAAUAUAUGUUACCGAAAGAUUGAUUUGAUAGUAAAUGGUCCAGAGAAUAGUAUAUGUGAACGUACAAAAAAGAAGCAAAAGAAACUUAAAUAUAUGCCUUUGUCAUGUUAAAUAUUCCUUUCGAUGAUGUUGGAUUCUUUCUUCUUUUUUUUUUUUCCUAAAAAAAGGAGACGUCGUCGUUAAGAUGCGAGAGUAUACAUUAAUUGGCUUGCUUUUUUAAACUUUGUGGGAUAGAUUCUUUAGAGACGGGGUUUUUACAAGACACCACGUUGCAUGCUUCUACCUGUGCAUGGGGAAUUUUUUGAACGUUCCAUUAAUAAUUAACGCUGCGUUGAUCACAUGCUUCUUAAUUUUUAAAAUUAACCCUGUUUCUUCCUCAAUUAUAGGUCAAAAGGCGUGCUUUUUUGGUGAUUCAUCUGGUGGAUACUAUAUGUUUUUAAAAAGAUAAUUCUUACUUUUUUUUUUUGGAUAAAUUACACUUUCGGUCUUCAAACUAUGAUGUGUGUGACACGUUGGUCCUCAAACUGACUCCAAUUUUUUGAAUUGUUGCAAUCAAAUUUCACAAACUAAUUUAGUUGGUUAAAUAUUGACAAAUUAUUAAUGUAAAAGUAAUAUAGAAAUGUUAUAAUUGAUGAUGCCAUAUCAAUUUUACGUACAUCAACAACUUGUCAAUAUUUACCCAACUAAAUUAGAUAUUAUGGGACUUGAUUACAGCAGUUCAAAAAGUUUGAGUCAGAAAUUAUACCUUAUUAAAAUUUAAGAAUCAAAAUGUCACACGCCUCAUAAUUUGAGGACCAAAUUAAAGUGUAAUUCACCCCUUUUUCUUUUAUGUUCCUCAUUCAGAGAGACUCUCUCUCUCUCUCUCUCUCUCUCUCUCUCUCUCUCUCUCUCUCUCUCUAUAUAUAUAUAUAUAUAUAUAUAAUGCGACAUGAAUCUUUUGUUAUAAAAAUAAGGUCCUUUCCAUUAGUGUGCAACUAUCCCGUUACUAACUAAUAAAUAUUCGUGUUUAUCUACUCACUACUCAUUUGGGUUGUUGAGCUAGCAUAAGAAGGUCAAGCCCUAGAAAUUUGGAACCAAUUAAAAACUUUAUACUAUAGUAGCCAAUGAACAAUAGACAACAAAAACAUCAUUCAUGUGGACUAGAAUUAUAUAUAUAUUUGUUCUUUAAUGACCUUGAUUUUGGAUUUCUCAUAUAUAAAAAUUUUUGGUUACUUCAACACUAAUCACUUGAUUGGUGGUCAAAGUGUUAUUUAAUUAGUUACGGUCGUGUUUGGGCAUUUUAUAUGAUAAUAUGAUAUUGAUCACGAGAGCCUAAGACGAUAUUUUGGUUGGAAAUUAAGCUGUGUGACAACGUACGCAAUCAACAUUUGACUAGAAAAAUGAAACUAAUAGCACCCAUCAUUUUGUUUAAUUAAUCAAAGCUAAAUAUAUAUUUUGUUACCUAAGUAACUAGCUUUUAUGUAAAUUAAUAAUAGCUUUAGACCUACUUAAGCGAACUCUACUACUUUAAUUGCUAUGUAGGUGGGACUAAAUUGGAUGUUUAUACGUUGGGAAACCAAUCAAGAGUGAUUAGUAUGGUCUAUUUAAAAAAAGUCCUUCAAAUAUAUAUAUGUAUAUAAAAGAAAAUUCAUCGGUACUGUUGUAACACGUGGUCAAAUUAACCCGAUUUACUUUUAGACCGCAAUUAAUUUGGUCACAAUAAUCAAGUUUAAUUGGACCUUGUUACAAAACUUCUUUGCAACGCACCUACAAUAACACUUCUGCAUAAGCUUACUUUUGGAGAUUGACCUCCUUGAGCCCAAUAAAGCUUUUACGAAAGUAUUGUUUGAGCAAAAUUAAUUGUUCGAACCUCCAAACAUGUUUUCGUUCAAGGAUUUUCGUAGCUUCUCAACAACAUGUGAUUCAAACUAAGACUUCGUUUGAAAUUGCAGAGAGAUUGCAUUACGUACGGUGAGAAAAUACGAUAGGAAAAUAUCCUGUUUGUUUCCGUACGUAAUAUUGCGUUUCGCAUAUCACGAUGAGUGGGUUACGAUAAUUUUUCUGUGGCCCCACCGGAGAUUACAGAAGUAUAUCUCUAUAUACUUUUACAUCAACUCCAUUUUAUCUAAUAGCGUCAGAUAGACCACAAUACCAAACCAAGACUAAGGCUAGCUCGGAUUUUGAUAACUAAAAUCUUAUUUUAAUUUUCAACCAUGCACAGUUAGAAGCUCAAAUUAUUAUUAUUUUUAAUUAAAAGCUUGUUUUGUAUCUCCAUUUCACAUCGAGAAUCAUGACAAAAACUCGGAGUGUAGUACCAUAAAGAUAUAUAUGCGGACUAAGGGCCAUUUUAUUAAUGAUCAAGCUUAAGCUUUUGGGGCUAUCGUUUGGACCUAACAAGUUAUUAAUUUUGCUGCACCAAUAGAAUUAGGAUUUUAGUUGCCCAGCCCACGUAGUACAUGCAUUCGACCACACAAGACCAAGCCGGGUCGAAUCUUGGUCCGGCCCUCCAAAGAAGGCCCAAUUUGCGAAAAAAAGUCCAAGUUGAAAAUAAGAAUUCUAAAAAACUUAUUUAUUUUGUAACUAUAAGUAACUAUUUAGUAGUACUGAUCUCUGUGGCUACAUGAUGAUCAAGUAUCGAGGACCAUUUAACACUAUUAAACAACACGGAAUUAGAAAAAGGUAUGCAAACAUAUGCUUUUUCAUUUUUCAAUAAAACUAUAAAAAAUAUAUUGUAAUCGGCUCAUUACGAUAUAGAUCACAUAAUAUUACAUACCGAGUUCAUUUUACUUUGUUUUUUUUUUUUUCUGGAUUCCUCAGUUAGUUGGAGUCGGAGCUUUUAAUUUCUUUUUUUUUUUGAGAAAAUGGAGCUUUUAAUUUCUAACCGGAGCCCAAAGUGUGAAAAGAGAGAAACUCGAGUGUACGAAGAAGCAAUAAUAAUUUGGGCCUUUAUUGGGUCGGUUCGGCCCUGAGAUUUAAUUGGGCUCAUUAAUUUCAGCCUAUUUAAUUAUAGGGCCGUGGUUUGUAUCCAAGCCCAAUUUCACGGCUCGACCCGACCCACUCCGGUCCAAAGUCCCGGUUCAAGAAAACCGAAAAUAAUACCGGUUCAAGGUACAAAAGUUAGUACAUCGCUGAAGCUUGCGAGAUCGAGAAACUCUGAAUAAAGAAGGCGAGGCGAGGAAGAAGACGAAGAGGGAGAGAUCGAUCGAAAAAAAAAAAAAAAAUCCGGAAUAAAUCCCUCGCAUUUUUUUUGCUCUCCUAUUUUUUUCCAAAAAUAAGUCGAAGGAUCGGAUCCUCUCCUCUUCAAUUCUUCGCCUUCCUCACUCGUCCUCGAUCGAUCGAUCUCUUGUUCAGAAACCCUAGAGAAUGGAUAAAAUCUUCGCCAAGCUCCGGAACCUGGACGCGUACCCUAAGAUCAACGAGGAUUUCUAUAGCAGGACCCUUUCCGGGGGCAUCAUCACCAUCGUCUCGUCCGUGAUCAUGUUCAUCCUCUUCGUCUCCGAACUUAGUGAGUGAUUAAUCGCGCCGUUCUUUUGUUUCUGACUUUUUUAUGUUUCGUGUGCGUGGAUGGGUAGCUGUAGGUUGGUUCUUGGGUAUAUCUCUGUUAUUUGGUGAUUCUCUGCUUGUAUUUAUUGUAAUCGUGCAAUGUUGAUUGGUUGAAUAGGCUAAUCACUCGAGUUCUUGAUAGUGGGAACGGAAUGUUGUUUGAAUUUGUUAUGGUUAUUUAAACCUGCUCUUUAUUUGCUAUUCAAAUAUCUCUUUAGCAUGUAAGGGGGCAUAAGGUUUCAUGAUAUCUGUGGGGCACGUGCAAAUCUUUAUCGUUUUAUGCUUGAUAGUUAAUAAUGGGGUUCACAGAGUCCUCGAUCCCACGAACCUGAGCAAGAAUUAGAGAGGAGCAAAGUUAGAAGCUGUAUAAGGGCCGUACGCUUAGGCACGGGAGGUGGAGAUGUUAAUUAUGGCGGUAAAGUAUUUCCCGGCAGAGGAUGGAAAGUGACUAGAGAUAAGAGAGAUAAAACAGGAAAUAAAGUAGGUCAAAGCGUCGGAGAAGAAAUAACUAAUUUAUACUCAUAAUGGACUACUGUACAUCAUCAGUUUCAUCUCAUGAGUCCCUUUUUUUGGCAAUUUGGCACCUAACAGUUCUAAAAUAGUCUUAUAAUCUGAAUAAAUAUGUCUAUUAUCACUAGCGUUGUUAAUGUGAAUUUCUUUCUUUGUUUCUGCAGUAUUUACAUUUGAAAUUUAGAAAAAUUAUUAGUGAUUGAAGAUGAUGUUUAAUUUGAUCGAGUGGCUAAAAAUGCCGGGGACCGAGAGGUUAUUGGCUGGGUGUAAGGCAUAAGGACUAACUGUACCUUUUGAUUGAAAUGACAGAAACAUUUAUUCAUGUAUUAUAGCUUUUUUGACACUUAAAGAGUUAGGGAUUGGUGUUCAAAUAAAGGCUACGAUUUGCAACUGUUCGCUUGAAAACCAAUUGUGAUUGAUGGUUUUACUUUUGAGACUCUUUAUAUUUGAAGACAUAAGUUGAAAAAUUUUGAGAGAAGUCAAGAUGAACACAAAUAUUUUUGGCUUGAGAAUGUUAAUAUAGAAGAUAAUUUAUGUGAUUGACCUUAGGAAAGAGAUAAUUCAUUGGUGUUUAGUGUUUACGCAUGGAACCAAAGAAAUGUACCAGAGAACAAUGACCUCUUUCAGGCCUUCAAAAGCUUUUGUCCUUUCUAAGUGCUUAACCCUCAACGUCUAACUACAGCCUAUGCCCUUGUUUGGAUCAUUUAUGAGAACUCCGCAUUAAUGUUUGUUAUUUAUUUCUCUGUGGAUCUAUGCUCAUAUUUCUACAGAUGUCACAGCAUAUUUUGCUUCAUACUUCAAGCUGUCAUAUAUAUAUAUCACAUUUCAUCAUUUUUUUUGUUGCAGGAUUGUAUCUUCAUGCAGUAACAGAAACAAAGCUCGUUGUAGAUACUUCAAGAGGAGAAACACUUCGCAUUAAUGUAAGAAUGCAUCUUACCAAGGAAUUUUAUUUUAUUUUUUCUGAUGGAGACUUUUUGGUCCAAUUUUAGUUUUUCAGCUUGAUUGAAGAUCAACUUAUCUUUCAAAGCAGACAACUUCAAAGAUGUUUGAUAACUUUACAGCGAAACUUUCUUUUUAAUGUGUCAUGCAUGUUUAUUGGAUUUUUCCCCCUUGUUUUAUUACUUGACAAAUUACUUAAGUAGACUGCUCGAUUUUUAUUUUUUGUUGUCUCUUACUUAGGAACCUAUUUUGUUUCCUUUCUCUGUUUCUCUAUUACAUAUUUUCAUUCUGUUACUCGUCACUGCUCCUCGUACUUGUGUACAGAUCAUUAAUUUUCCAAUAUUGCUACAAUUGAAGCUCUUGUUUAUUAUUUACUCAUUUUGUUUCUUUCUAAAUAGUUAGUAGUAGUUUGCUUGGAAUCAUCAAGCUAUUUUUGAAUUUCUCAUUGUUAUAACUGAACUUCAUUUUGUUGCUGGUAAAGGAAAACUUUGCCAUAUGUUGCAAUCAAGCCCUAAAGUGAACAUCUGUUGGAUUCAGUGAUGGGAACUGAUGUGACAUCUCUAGAGCAAAUUGAUGUUACAUUCAAUCAGCUAUUUUUGGGAUGUUGUUGAAUUUUUUUUUUUUUCAAUCAUUUAGUAAGGACAUUCCAACCAACAUUGCAUAAUAGCCUCGUAAGAUCCUUAUCAGCUAGUGUGAGAAGAUGUCACACAUAAUUGGGAUGUAAUAUGAGCUUUCUUUUUGUUACAUAUUAGAGAAGUUCAUGAUUCGAUGAACCUUGUUACGACAAAUAAGGAAGUUUGAGCUAUUAGUUGCUGAUCAAAGAAUUAGUAGAAUUGGAAAUCCAAUUUCUUGUGCAGUUUCGAGACUUCUUUAAAAAAUUGACCAAACAUUCAUUGAUAUUUAUUGAUAUGUAUCCAUGUUGAUAUUGAAAGUCUUGUUUGAUUUAAUCUUGUCCAUGUUUCAAUAUUGGGAUUGCUGCUUGCUAAUCCCCUGCCCAUAUUUUCCAUGGAAACUGCAGUUUGAUAUAACCUUCCCAGCCCUAUCAUGUUCAAUACUCAGUCUGGAUGCAAUGGAUAUUAGCGGUGAAGAGCACCUUGAUAUAGUAUGUCUUUCAGCUAGAUCUGUUCUCUCUUCAUAAUUACAUAUCUAACCAACCAAUUUAUAUGCCAUCGAAGUGACUUUAUAUCUCACUGCAUUUUUUUUUUGUUUUUCUGUAGAAGCAUGAUAUAGUCAAGAAGCGGAUUGAUGCCCAUGGCAAUGUCAUAGAAGCUAGACAAGAUGGAAUUGGUGCACCUAAGGUAUUACAAAGCUGCCUAAAAAUGUGUUUUCCCUUAAUUUCAACUAUUUAAUUUCUUGUUAGCACCAUAUUAUUUUGCAUUGAUGCUUUGAGUGCGGAAAUUGGACACAGACAAUUUACCAAAAAAAGGACACAAUAAAAGAAGUUUCUCAAUAGAUUGAUGUUUUUAUCCUUGGAGAACUGAGAAAGCAUAUGGCCUACUUUUAUUCUUUUAUUCAUCUGUUUCUUUUACAUUCUUCAGAUAUGUCCAUAUCUUACUUACAACUUCUGACAGUACUUGUACCAACCUUCACAUUCAUCAUGCACCACACUAUUCUAAAGUCAGCUUCUUUGCAAAAGUGUGUUUUUGAGGCAAGCUUAACUUUUCAUGGUUGAAAAAAUGUAGAAAAUCUUUUCUUGCAUUAUCUAUACCUCAAACAGUUGGAGAUGGACGAAUUAGUUUCUUAGCAUUUUAGUCAAGUGGAUAGGUUCAGCAAGUAUACCAUUAAAUAUUAUUGUAUUUGGAUCACAAUCUUAGAUUGUACACCUUGCCAACAAAGCUCAAUUGGCUGUAUGGACUAUGGACAGUUUUAAAAAAAACCAUGAACUACUAAAUUGGUGGACUGAAAUUGCUACAAUAAAGAUUUACACCUGAAAUUGGAUGAGCCUAAUCGAAGGAAUGAAUCUCACUAUCUUAUGUAGGUGGAUCCUCAAGAAAUUCUUUGGCACUCUUAUAGUGUAGAGACAUAGAAGCAAAACGUUGACCCUGUUGAAUGAGCUAAGUGAAGUUUUCUACUUCAUAGAUUUACUCCCUUGUAGUUAAAUAACCUACUAUAAACUUUGAAGUUGGAUUAUCCGAUUAUAUUACCUCUUACUUGAUGUUUUAAUAUCAACAACCACAAGCAAGUUAAAUUUUGCAUGCCCUGUACUUUAGUAGCUUGUUUGAGUAGUGAAAAUUUUCUGUUGUGAAGUUUUGAAGUUUAUAUGUUAAUAUUUGCUGGAAGUUUACUUUAUACAAUGCAUGUUUUAUUAUUUUAACUCUCUGGCAGAUGGAAAAGCCUUUGCAAAAACAUGGUGGGAGGCUUGAACACAAUGAAACGUAUUGUGGUUCUUGCUAUGGUGCAGAAGUGGUAUGUAAUCCUGGUUCUAUUUUAAUAUUCAUUGUUUUAACAUCUGUUAUGCCUUUUUCAGUAGUACAAGUGGUAUCAUAUCUUGGGAUUGCUUUCUAUAUCAUCAUCUUAGGCAUUGCUUGGUAUUGAUGCUAUUCUUUUUUCACACAAAUUCUAUGCAAUGGAGUGUGGGCGGAUGGCAGAGUGCUUCCAAUAUAUACAUCUACUGGGCCUGCUGGCAAGAGAAAAAAAAUGAAAACACAAAAGUACCAUUUAUUCUCUUCCUUUGUUUAUUGAAUAUGCCUUUUGGUACCCAGCUGGGUUGCAUUGCAAGCUAACCAGUAAUGGCAAGAAUAGGGAAGUCCUCCUGUUGGCACAGCAAUCAUAUUGAACUUUUUGUUCAUAACAACAAAAAAAAAGGCAACAAUACAAAACAACGCAUGGCUCUAUGACUGUGCAACUUGGAAACAACACUUAGCUAUUCUUGACAAUAAAUUUCAGUACAGGGAGUAUUGGUGUGAUUCUUGUGGAAGUUGCUUGAGACGUAGUUGGCUAAAAAGCUGAUUGGAAAGUUAAGUACAAUAAUGGACAACGGGUAAUGAAUGCCUUUAUGUAUGCAACCCAAAUGAGCAAUGGAUGUCUUUUAGUAUGCACCCAAAACUUGUAACUAUGUGCAUAUCUCAUAAUAUUUGAUAAUUUUGAAAUCUUUAGUAGUUCAAUCCUAUUUUUGGUUUCUUUUGUGAGGGAAUAGUGAAAACAUUCAUCGCUAACCUCCCAUCCUCGUGCUUAUCUUCUCACUGUUCUAAAAUGCUGUCACCCGCAUAGGUGAAUGUCAUUGCUUGAUCGCUUCAAUAGUCCGCUUGUAUUUGUGGUGUACACACCUCAUAAUGGGUGCAUGAGCACCUUACCUCCUACCUCGCAUUAGAAGAAAUAUAAGGUUUAGCAUGGCAUGAUAUAUAGAAUGUUUAAUAAGUCAUCCAAAGUUCUAUAUUUUUCUUAUUCAUUUGAUUCAUCUGUGCCUUUCUUUUAUGUAUAAUAUUUUGUUACUGUAAUAUAUUAUUGUAUGUAAUUAUAUUUUGCAAAAUUCUUAUCUCAGUUAAUAUUAUUUGCUAUGACAGACUCUGAUCAGAUUUUCUUUAUAUAUAUAUAUAUAUAUAUAUAUAUAUAUAUAUAUAUAUAUAUAUAUAUAUUUUAGCUCCUUCAUUACUUUCACAAAAUGUUUCCUGGUUUAUUAUUGCUACUGUUGAAUCUAUAUAUCUUCUUAAUUUUGUUCCUCAUAUGCCAUGAACAUGCAAAUUGAUUUGCUUGUAGUCCGACGACGAUUGUUGCAACUCUUGUGAAGAAGUUCGUGAAGCAUAUAGAAAGAAAGGAUGGGGCCUCUCAAACCCGGAUCUGAUUGACCAGGUGUGACCAUAUAGAUGACAUGAUUUAUUUUUGCUUUUUAAGUGCCUUGCUUUAUAACUCUAUGAGUUUAUCCUCUCUGUAAUUAAAUGUUUUAUGAAAAUAUUCAAUUUUUCACGGGAAAGUUUAUGUUUAAUAAGUUUGCCUAGGUUUCUGAUAGUUACAAUGGCUUGAAAGUCACUGGAGUUCUUGUUGUAAUGUAUGAAUGUUCUGUCACUCAAACUGGUUCUUUCAGUUUGCACAAAGAUGUCAGUGUUGGCUAAAGUUGGGCCCACAUUAUGCCAUUAUCUUAAAGGCUUACUACCUUGUCUUGUAUUACAAUUUUCUCUAUGCAACUGCCUACGCCUGAGUUUCAUAUCCUAUUGGUUACUACUACAAACUGUAAUUACAUGACCAUCUAAUUGCAAGGUUUUUGUCUAUCAAAUCUUGAGCUAGUAUAUUUAAGAAAUUUAAUAAUUUUUACUCUCGACUCUGGUGUUGUAUAAUAGUGCAAAAGGGAGGGUUUCCUACAAAGAAUAAAGGAUGAGGAAGGCGAAGGAUGCAACAUCUACGGCUUUCUAGAAGUUAAUAAGGUUGCUGGGAAUUUUCAUUUUGCCCCAGGCAAAAGCUUUCAUCAGUCAAAUAUGCAUGUUCAUGACUUGCUUCCGUUCCAGAAGGAUAGCUUUAAUGUAAGCAAGUUUGGACGGAGUUGUGGCAGUGUACAUAAUUUCAUCGUUCACAGAUCAUUCUUAGCAUGCUUUGACAUAUUCAAUUUUCAUUUAUGAUGUUGCCAGAUUAGCCACCGAAUAAAUAGAUUAGCUUUUGGAGAAUAUUUUCCUGGUGCUAUCAAUCCUCUUGAUGGGUAACUUUGUAUUCCUUCUAUCUUCCUAUUUAUUUGCUAGUUACCUGUAUGCUCUUAAAUAGCUUUUAAUAUCAUAAAGAUAUUAGUGACUAUACACCUGAUUAUUGAAAUAUUUAGAGUGCAAUGGGUGCAACAAACACCAUAUGGGAUGUACCAAUAUUUCAUCAAGGUUAGCCGCCUCAUUUUCCUUCUUUUACUUAGUAGAAGUUAAAGUUAAGAUAUACAUGUGCUUGCUAAGCAGUCUCUUCCUGCAUAUGCCACUUCUUUCUUCUGCUGUCCUUGCAGAAUUAUGUAGUUGCCGAUGACUCUUGGAAGUUUUCAAAUCUUUCUCCUUGUCUUUUCCAGGUUGUUCCCACUGUCUACACUGACAUUAGUGGGCGUACUAUCCAGUCCAAUCAGGUAUAAAUAAGUAUUCCAUGGUAACUUCUGAUUCUGCAUUUACUUGAUUUCAUCAUCUUGUUAGAACUUUUUCAUUCAAACAUGCAGUUUUCUGUAACCGAGCAUUACAGGGGUGAUGACAACGGUCGCAUCCAAGCCCUUCCUGGUGUUUUCUUCUUCUAUGACCUUUCGCCGAUAAAGGUAAUGUUUUCAUAAGUAAAGCACCGUUACUGUUAGCAGAUUUUUGCCUGGAAAAUGAAAAUAUUUUCAUUACUUUUGUUUUUAUUCGGAUCUUUUCUUCCUCCAUUCACAAUAUAACAAGUCGCAACCAUCCUUUAGUGUGCAAUGUAAAUGCAGCCUGAUCGAUUCUUAUACUGUUUUUUGAUAUUGAUGUGAUAAGCGUAGAAAAGUUUGGGGAUACCUUUAUUGUUUCUUAGUCAUUGUAAUUUAUAUCUUAUUGCAAUACAUGGGUUUUGCAUCUAUUACAUGUUUUUUUUGUCUUACAAGUUACUAAAAAGACAGUUUAGUUCAAGCAGACCCAUCUAAUUCCUACACUAUUAUUACCCUGAUGCAUUUUUGCAGGUUACCUUCAUGGAGCAACAUGUCUCUUUCUUGCACUUCUUGACUAAUGUUUGUGCUAUUGUUGGAGGUACACUUUAUUUCACUUAUAUGACUAUUAUAAUCAUUUUACUUCUGGUGUGCUGCGUAAACUUUACGGUUAACAUAAUUUUUACAAAAUCAGCUUUGUCCUUCCAUAUUAGUUCAUUCGUAACAUCUGUUUCUGAUUAAUUGAGAUUUGAGAAUAUUGAUGAGUGUCUCCAGAACAUGAAAUUGAUUACACCUGUUAUCAAUUUAGUAUACAAAUAAUCUUUUUGAAGGAACAUCGGACUUUAUUCUAUUAAUCGUGUCCCAAUUAUAAUGCUUAAUAAGUUAUUUUGAAAGGAAAUACUAGAGUUGUCUGACAAGCAAUAUUGUUACUUAUCCUCUUUAAGAAAUGAAAAUGAAUAAUGUAUUGUUUUCAUCCCAUACUUUGUUUGACUUCACAACCAGCAAAUGACCUUCAAAUGGAUUCUUAUAUUCAGAAUAUUCUCCAAUUUGGAAAGUCGUUGCACUUUACUAUUUUUACUCAAGUUGUCCUCUUUACUUUAACCUACCUAAAUAUUCCACAACUGGCAUGUCCUCUAGAACAGAUAACUUGUGAAAGCAUUGAAAGGGGCUCUAAGAUCUAAUACUUGAAUCACUUUUAAGGGCCUAAUAUUCCAUACUAUCUGUUUUACGGGUCAUACUAUUCUUGCUCAUUGACAUUGCAAAAGGUAUAUUUUGACUAAUGCCAGUUAUAGAGCAAUGAAAUAGCAUUUCAAGCAUAUGUGGCAUACCUGCACUAAAUAGAGUCGUUGGUUGGUAUCAGGGUAUGUGAGUGUGUCCUAUUGGCAUCCUCCAAAAACAACAAUAACAGCAAGCACAAAAAAAAAAGAGGGUUCCUUAACUUUCAGAUGUCCAUCCUUCUGUAAAGUCAAGUUGUCGGAAUUUCCAGUUCUUGGGCUAUACAAACUUAUCAGGAUUGGUUUGAUGACCGACUCUAAUGUUGAUUUCUUUACCUCACCAGGUAUAUUUACUGUUUCUGGGAUAUUUGAUUCAUUUGUAUAUCAUAGCCAGAGAGCAAUCAAGAAGAAGAUGGAGAUCGGUAAAUUCAGCUGAUUGUCAAACUUGGUAACUUUUUUGUUCUUGAAAGUUAAACCACCUUUCUCGUGGGUGCUCGACCUAUCUGGUGCGACUUGAAUAUCCAAAAGUGACGUCGAGUCAGUUGGUGGGAUCGGGUUGGGUUUUGCUCUUUGUUAUAUUAUUUCGCGGCCCUGCAUCCUACAUGGAUGAAUGUCAUGUGGAUCACAAAUUCAAUCAUUUUAUAGCUGUUGUCUGUGUAAUUUAAAUUCAACAGGGGGAUAUUUGCUGUUGGAAGAGCAUUUGUGGGUGAUUAUACAUAUAGUAACAUUGAUGCAAGAUCACAGAGAACAAUGUGGAUGUUGGUAUUCGACAAGUCGGAACUUGAGUUGGUUGAAAGAUCUGUAUUGUUUUGUUAUCUUAAUUCCAGUUCCUAGAUGCAGAAGGUUAUCGAGUCUUGUACUAUUAUGUGAAUCACACAUAAGUGUUUAAAGUUUUAUUUGAGUGUUAAAUCUCUGAAAUUUCAAGAAAUGUUUUUGUUGUCUUUAAAUAUCAUGCAGUGAUUAGAUUCCAAUGAGGGCUACUCUGUUUUUCUUUUAUUUACUGUUUGCUUAUAUAACUGUUGGGAUAGAGAUUCAUGCUUCAACACAGGUGAUUAAUUAGAAUCUAACCAACUUCUAUGCAGAUAUAUGCAUGUCACAACAAUUUGCUAGAGCAAUGUACUAGCUCAAGCAGUAAAUGUGUUGGGGAUAUUUGUAUAUUUGACUUUAUUAUUCAACAGGUCUUGUGUACUAAGCCAAAAGUCUGUACCAUUCCAAAAGCAAUUCAUGCACUCAAAAACUUGCUUGUUAUCUGGGCUAAACUUCUGUUUAAUUAAAUUUCCGAUAUCUGAACUAAUGCAGUUUCUUUGAUGAAGUGGCUUUCCUCGUGUGUUUCUCCAUGCCUGUGAUAUUCUUUUUUGGUACCAAUUAGAUGAAAUUUGCUGUAUCAAUGCUUUAGCUCAUUCAAUUAUAUGCUUAGGAUUUGUUUCAGAGGAUCGUGUAAUCACAUAAUAUAGCACGCCUGAUCGGUUUCUAAUGAUGGUUAGUAUUAGCUUCUUAUGUAGAUGAGACUCGCUUUGUCAUUCUAUUUUUUUAAUCACGUAUACAUAUAUACUACCCUACUUUAAAUGCUUCUACUGUUUUGAUCUCUUACGCAGCCCAAGGAGAUAUUUCCAACUGGUAGGUAUUGCAUCUCGUCAGAUAAGAAUUCUCAAACACGUCAAUUUUAUUGAGAAAUUACUGUUUUUAACAGUGAACUCUACUGUUCUGGUUUCUUCUCUUACAGUUAAAUUUAUCUAUUUGGAUUUCAUUUUUUGGUCGGAUGUGCUUUAUAUUCUUAGGCUUUAACCUUUUACAAAGUAGCUACCAUCAUGCCCAUAACAGCAUAUAUAGAACAUUUUGGCUUUUAUGUCAUUCGAAAUUCUCCUGCGAUGUUCCUUGGCGUUCGUUAUCAUAAAAUUCCAACUAUGAAAUGGCGAAUCCUAUCACGCAAUUGUUCAGAAUCUGUCAGCGUUCUCAAAUUUCCACAUCAGCGGAGGACAGAGCCAAAAGGACAAUAGCGAAGUGCCUCAGGUAAUUUUUUAUAUUCAUGUUUCGUAACCUCGAUUUAUUUGUGGGAAUUAGAAAAUAUGGCAAAGUUCUUAGUACACAUUUUUCAGUUUAUUUCUUGUACAAAGCCUCAAUUUGGGCAGCUUUUUCUACGUUAUCGAGCCGCUUGCAUCUCGCCGCUUUCACAUGCUUGGUGGGUUACUUGUUAGUUAAAAGAAUUAUGGUGAGAAGGGAAAGAAAACAAGAGAAUGUGCAGUAUGUUUUAGUUAAUAAUGCUGAAACAAAAGACAAAGCAAAGAUCACUGGAACAAAAUAUCAUAGAGCCAUAGAGGUGGGGUUAACCAUUCCCUGUGCUCCUUGCUAUGCUUGUUCUAAAGGUAGAUCGUGUUCUGUUGUCUUCACGCUGUACAGUUUUUAUUUUGCUCGACUUCUAACCUAUCUCAAUAACCUUACAUGCUGUUCUGUCGUGUUUGGCUUUUAUAACCUUGUUUCUCAUCUGAAAUUGUCAUGUCAUAUGACUAUUGAGGAGCGUUUAGAUGCAAAUUUUCCAACUAAUACUUGUAAUUUUAGUUUUAAAUGAGAAUCCGUGCAAUUUCUACACAAUUAUUGUUCUACGAGAAGAAUAUAUGCAAUUAUUGAAUAUUGGUCCUCCUCGGAGAAAAGGAGAGGAGGAAAUUUGCGAAAGGGACGAGCGCAGAGGCAACAAAAUGGAAAGGAAGAAAAACGAAGUGUGUACGCAUUAAGUGAUACAACAAUUUCCUUUUGCCAUGUUUGUGUAGAGAUAGAUAUUUUGAUGCGCGUGGCCAUCGGAGAUUGAUUAUUACGUUGAUGAAUACUACUAUUCUACAGGUAUAUUUUGUCAAUGUGAAAAGCAUCCGAUGCGGGUUAACUUUUCCCCCCACUUUCGUUCUCAAUUGGAAUGAUUCAAAUCUCGCUGAGAUAUCUUUCAGAUUCACCACCAAUUGAAGGUAAUCUCAUCGCAGGUAGAAUUUUUCUUUUUUUUUGCCGAGCCACUGUGGGUUCGCAUCUUUUAUCUUUGUAUAACAUAUCACAAGUUGCCCAAGGGCUUUUUCUGUGAAAUAGAAAGGAAAAAAAAAAAAAUUAUUCAUCUCAGGUUAGUGGAAUAUGUAUUUAUUGUUGUGCUAAAAAAUUGAAUGAUAUAUAGAAAGAAAAGGAGUUUAAAAUAUCGUAUUUUGGUUGCUUACGGUUUUAGAGAAAAUUGGUUGUUUUACAUUUAAUGAGAAUAGGAAGUUUUGAGUUCAAAUUUUAAUUGGGGCCUCUAGUCUCAUUCAGACUCUGUCCAACUUAUUUUGAAAAUCCAGGUGUUGCAGACAAAAUCGCCCUCAUGCAUGGGGCAAUGUUGACUAAUGUAGAUAGCUACUUCCAAAUCGUGUUUUAGUAGUGUUUUAAGUCGUUAAAGAAAAAAGAAAAAAAAAAAAAAGGAAAGAAAAAAAAAAAGGGUUAGGUCCAUGAAGGAUAAAUUGCAUUGCCACUAACUUGGUAGGUGUAGUCAAGUUUCGUUUUGGUCAUUGGAAUUCAAAGUUUGUCCCUUUGAUGCGUCUCGUAGUGUUAAGAAAAAAAAAGGGAAAAGAAAAAAAGAAAAAUUGCAACAGACACACAGUGGUUUCAACUUGAUUCCUGCUGGACCAAGCAAUCCUUUUGAAAAGGAUAAAAAGUGAUAUUUUAUAGUGGGUGGAGAGAGAGAGAGAGAGAGAGAUAAGCAGAGGAAGAAUAAGAACAAAGAGAUGAGCCCUAGGGGGAGUAGGUUUGGGAACUUGUGGUGGAGGGUGUUGGCUUAAAUGCGCCAGCAUCCUGUCCUGUGCCGGAAGGUCAUGUGGGCCGAGUCAUGUUCGAAAUGGCGUGAGGCUGGGUUGGGCCGAGUCAUGUUCGAAAUGGCGUAAGGCCAGGUGGGCCGAGUCACAAUCGAGACCCAUGGGCGCUGUUUCUGUACGCUUUAAGUGAAUUGGUUGCGUAUUUCUAACAGCUCGAGCUUUUGGGAUUAAUGGUUAGCGCUAACAAUCCGACAAGUGGUAUCAGAGCCAGAGAUCACGGAUUCGAUUCCUGCAUGCUGCAAAUGUGUUCAGGUGCUGGAGGAGGAUUGUUGGCUUAAAUGGGCCAGCAUCCUGCCCUGUGGCGGGAGGCCAUGUGGGCCGAGUCAUGUUCGGAAUGACAUGAGGCUGGGUUGAGCCGAGUCAUGUUCGAAGUGGCGUGAGGUUAGGUGGGCCGAAUCACAAUCAAGAUUCAUGGGCGCUGUUUUUGUACGCUUUAAAUAACUUAAUUACGUAUUUUUAAUAGCUCGAAUUUUUGGGUUUAAUGAUUAGCGCCAGCGAUCCGACGGAGGGCAUAUCUCCAUGCCUCUCCCCUUUGCCCCUUAUCUCUGGCAAAAGGGUAUGGGGCAAUAAUAAAGAAAUGCAUAUAUGAUGAUGAAGAGGGGAUGUGUUAUGACUGAUUCCACAUGACAAUGGAAGUCCUUUUCAACAGCAUAAAAGCAAAAGGUCUUCCAGAGGCUUCUUCCCCAUCUCCCAUCCCUCCCAUCCCUCCCUCAUCUUUUUUGGUCAAGUUUAGCCCCUAUUUUAUGCUAUUAUUAUGUGAAGGGAAGGAAACAACUAGCUGUUGCUGAAACAGUCCCUUUUUGAGUAAAUCUUAAGCUUUGCUUGCCGCUCAAAACUUUUCCUUUUGUUACAUGUGUUGCUCAGCAUCAUUCAAGCAAUGGCUAGGAUUUUUGGUAUACUAAAAUGGGCAUAACUAUCUCAUUUAUAUGUGGUUAGAGAAGGUGGAUGAGGAAAUUCACGAUUCUUGUUCUUAUUGGCUGAACACCAAAAAAAAUAUCUCCUUCGAAAAAUAAUAAUAAUAAUAAUAAUAAUAAUAAUAAUGAAGAAAAGAAUUGUUAAGAUUUUAUUUCUUAUUGCCAAACAAAACAAAACAAAUCAAGGGCAUAAAAAGCUUAUUUCUCGAAGGAGAUAUUUUGCUUGAGAAAAUAAAAAGACAACACUAGUACUAAAUGAGACUCAAAAUCUUAUUAAAUUUGAGCAAACCUUUGUUUGGACAAAUGUUAACGAAUCUUAAACCCUACGCCCUGAACUGUUUGAAUAAAGAUUAAUGAUCCAUUUAGUGAAAUAUCUGUAACAUAGUGACAAUAUUUCUUUGUAAAGAAGCUAAAGGGCAAAAAAAACAUCGGUCAAAAAGCACUCAUCUUCUUGUAUACUAUGACUCUCUGUUUUUUGUUCUUCUUUUUUUGCAACACCUGAUUAUAAGGUAUGCAUUUAACUUAACAACAAUUCCAUCAAAUAUUUGAUCAUUUCAAACCCCAAAAAAGAAAUUAGCACUAAUCAUAAAGAGCUAAUGUGCAUCUCAAUCUUUGUGUUUCUUGUGCCUCUACACCAUCCAAUCUCUUCGCGAUCGAGUUCAUCAUACUCAAAACCAUGCAUACAUAAACACCAUAAAAGUACUUAAAAGCAAUAUAAUAAUUACACAGCUACACAACAAUUACAACUACACAAUAGAUUUAAAACAUCUCCUUACUCGCUGGUGAUGCUGAGGCAAAAACAUCCAGCAAAAACCAGGAGGAGGUGACCCCAAUAUAAUAAUUAAUUACAUACCAAGCCCACUAUUAAGAAAGGGGGGAAAAAAAAAAAAAAAACCUAAAAGAGGACUCUGAUUCUUCUUCUUCGACCUAAAAGAGCUCUCCGCAAACGUCUAAAACCCCAUUUGCAGAAGAAGCCCAUAACCACUAAUUAAGAACUACACCAUACUACUACACCAAAUACAAUUAUAUUCCCACAAGACGAAGAAAAAAAAAAGAAAAAAAAUAUACUAAUUUUGGGAUAAAAUGGAGUCCCAGUCGAUCUCGUAGGAGGGAUACUUGCGGAGGAAGAAGCUCUCGGACUCGUCCCAUGGCGCCUCGGUGAAGUCCAAGGUCUCCAUCUCCGACACCGGCGACGACGAGUCCUCGGCCUCCCCGUCCGACGACGACGAGCUCUCCUCCGCCGCCGCCGAGGCCGGGGCGGAGGAGCUCGGCGGAGCUGCUGCGGCGGCGGCUGCGCUCCGGCCGGUCUUGGGGGCGGGGGCGGAGGAGGAGGUGGAGGCGAGGGUUUGGCAAAUGGCCUGGAGCUUGGCGUCGACGGAGGCGAGGAGCGGGGCGGGGGAGGAGGAGGGGAGGUGGCGGUGGCGGAGGUCGGGGAAGUUGAGGCGGGCGAAGUCGCCGCGGAGGCGGAACGCGGCCUUGUCGUAGGCGAGCGCGGCCUCCUCGGCGGUGUCGAAGGUGCCGAGCCAGAGCCGCGUCCGGUUCUUCGGGAGCCGGAU